rnacentral:lncRNA from 10 species
UCUCUAAUUCUGCCAUCCAGACCGAGCAAACGUACUUAAGACCUUUGUGUAAGAUCAGAAAAUCAUAAGACAGCAUUAAAAAGUACUAUACAGGAGGAGAUGGAACAAGAUGGCCAAAUAGAAGCCUCCAGCAAUCAUCUCCCCGAAAGGAAUUGAACAACUAUCAAAACAAAAUUGAACAACUAUCUAAACAAAAAAGUACCUUCAUAAAAAACAAAAAUCAGGACAAUAUCAGAACGGCACAUACAAGUGUCCCCAAGUCAUAUUUGGAAUAAGAUCACUUGGGAACACAAGUCAAAGAAGGACACAGUGUUCUGCCUCUCCUGAGUAAGCAGCAACAACGCACCAUCUUGGAAUCAGGGGACGGCCCUCACCAGACAACUAAAUCUGCAGACACCUUGGACUUCCCAGCCUCCAGAACUGUCUUUCUGGCAACUGUCUAAACAUAAACCAGAGAAGGGCAAGGCAGACUCAGGAAGGACAAAUAGAAGGCUAUUUUCAUAAAUCGGACCACCACCACAUGUGCAGCAUCCCUCUGGGUCUCUUCCAUGACAACCCUGUGGGAAGCCAGGCAAGUGAGAAUCAAUGUAAACAUGAAGUUCAUGCUGCUUACUGUGUCGUGAUAAUGUCCUUGUCUCCCAAUCAGGAGAUGCUUCUCUUCUGUCAGCCUGCA